UACGUAGGCAGCAAGCGUUGUUCGGAAUUACUGGGCGUAAAGAGUGUGUAGGCGGUGUUCUAAGUUUGUCGUGAAAUCUCCCGGCUUAACUGGGAGGGUGCGGCGAAAACUGGAAUGCUAGAGGAUGGGAGAGGUAAGCGGAAUUCCUGGUGUAGCGGUGAAAUGCGUAGAUAUCAGGAGGAACACCUGUGGUGUAGACAGCUUACUGGACCAUUUCUGACGCUGAGACACCAAAGCGUGGGUAGCAAACAGG
rnacentral:rRNA from 1 species